ACGAACGCUGGCGGCGCGCCUAACACAUGCAAGUCGAACGAGAGAUGAGGAGCUUGCUCUUCAAAUCGAGUGGCGAACGGGUGAGUAACGCGUGAGGAACCUGCCUCAAAGAGGGGGACAACAGUUGGAAACGACUGCUAAUACCGCAUAAGCCCACAGCUCGGCAUCGAGCAGAGGGAAAAGGAGCGAUCCGCUUUGAGAUGGCCUCGCGUCCGAUUAGCUGGUUGGUGAGGUAACGGCCCACCAAGGCGACGAUCGGUAGCCGGACUGAGAGGUUGAACGGCCACAUUGGGACUGAGACACGGCCCAGACUCCUACGGGAGGCAGCAGUGGGGAAUAUUGCACAAUGGGGGAAACCCUGAUGCAGCGACGCCGCGUGGAGGAAGAAGGUCUUCGGAUUGUAAACUCCUGUUGUUGAGGAAGAUAAUGACGGUACUCAACAAGGAAGUGACGGCUAACUACGUGCCAGCAGCCGCGGUAAAACGUAGGUCACAAGCGUUGUCCGGAAUUACUGGGUGUAAAGGGAGCGCAGGCGGGAGAACAAGUUGGAAGUGAAAUCCAUGGGCUCAACCCAUGAACUGCUUUCAAAACUGUUUUUCUUGAGUAGUGCAGAGGUAGGCGGAAUUCCCGGUGUAGCGGUGGAAUGCGUAGAUAUCGGGAGGAACACCAGUGGCGAAGGCGGCCUACUGGGCACCAACUGACGCUGAGGCUCGAAAGUGUGGGUAGCAAACAGGAUUAGAUACCCUGGUAGUCCACACCGUAAACGAUGAUUACUAGGUGUUGGAGGAUUGACCCCUUCAGUGCCGCAGUUAACACAAUAAGUAAUCCACCUGGGGAGUACGACCGCAAGGUUGAAACUCAAAGGAAUUGACGGGGGCCCGCACAAGCAGUGGAGUAUGUGGUUUAAUUCGACGCAACGCGAAGAACCUUACCAAGUCUUGACAUCCCUUGACGAACAUAGAAAUAUGUUUUCUCUUCGGAGCAAGGAGACAGGUGGUGCAUGGUUGUCGUCAGCUCGUGUCGUGAGAUGUUGGGUUAAGUCCCGCAACGAGCGCAACCCUUAUGGUCAGUUACUACGCAAGAGGACUCUGGCCAGACUGCCGUUGACAAAACGGAGGAAGGUGGGGAUGACGUCAAAUCAUCAUGCCCUUUAUGACUUGGGCUACACACGUACUACAAUGGCGUUAAACAAAGAGAAGCAAGACCGCAAGGUGGAGCAAAACUCAGAAACAACGUCCCAGUUCGGACUGCAGGCUGCAACUCGCCUGCACGAAGUCGGAAUUGCUAGUAAUCGUGGAUCAGCAUGCCACGGUGAAUACGUUCCCGGGCCUUGUACACACCGCCCGUCACACCAUGAGAGCCGGGGGGACCCGAAGUCGGUAGUCUAACCGCAAGGAGGACGCCGCCGAAGGUAAAACUGGUGAUUGGGGUG
rnacentral:rRNA from 1 species